AUGAUAGCUAGGAGCGGGAGGGAUCGAUUUCUGCGCCGCCGCCGCAGCUGCCAGCCGCAGGCGGUCCACGGUGAUGACCGGAUCAGCGCCCUAUCCGACGACCUCCUCCUCGACAUCCUGGGCCGCCUCGACACCCGCACGGUUCUCGCCACCGGGAUGCUCUCCAAGCGCUGGGCCGGCCUCCCCCGCGAGCACCCCGUCCUCGACUUCCGCGUCGGGGACAUACUCCCGCCGCGCUACCAAAGAUGGCUCCUCCUCCAUCGGGACCCCGAGGUCACCGGUUUCCACCACAAUUCCGGCGCGGCAAAGGUGGAGAAGGCCAUGCGCCACAUCAGGAGGUACGAGCGCCGCGCCAUGCGCGCCUUGGCCAGCUCCGCCGAGCGCCUCUCGGACGCGGCGGCCGGCCGGAGGGUCAGCAGGCUGACGCUCGAGUUCUUCUCGACCCACAACACCGGCUGCAUCAACCGGCUCAUCUCCACGGCCAUCGAUGCUUGGGAGGUCCGCGACGUCGUGGCCGUCGCCAAGCCGGUCUACUCGCAACGCCGGAAGUUCCACGCCUUCCCCAGCCAGGGCAUCUGCGGGCACCCUCACGCGUCACGCCUGCGAAGCCUCAAGCUUGCUGGCUGCGCGCUCCCGCCGCUCCGCGGGCACGGCGCGCUCACCGUGCUCGUCCUGCAGGACACGCCCAUGUCGACGCCCGUGUCGGCGACUCGGCGUACGAGGGCGUCUUCACCUCGUGCCCGCAGCUGCAGGUGCUCCACCUCAUCUCCUGCUACACCGCUGACAUACGAGGGCAGAUCACCGUGGACGCCCCCGGGUCGGACCUGA
rnacentral:rRNA from 1 species